rnacentral:rRNA from 1 species
GUUAAGCGACUAAGCGUACACGGUGGAUGCCCUGGCAGUCAGAGGCGAUGAAGGACGUGCUAAUCUGCGAUAAGCGUCGGUAAGGUGAUAUGAACCGUUAUAACCGGCGAUUUCCGAAUGGGGAAACCCAGUGUGAUUCGUCACACUAUCAUUAACUGAAUCCAUAGGUUAAUGAGGCGAACCGGGGGAACUGAAACAUCUAAGUACCCCGAGGAAAAGAAAUCAACCGAGAUUCCCCCAGUAGCGGCGAGCGAACGGGGAGCAGCCCAGAGCCUGAAUCAGUGUGUGUGUUAGUGGAAGCGUCUGGAAAGGCGUGCGAUACAGGGUGACAGCCCCGUACACAAAAAUGCACAUACUGUGAGCUCGAUGAGUAGGGCGGGACACGUGGUAUCCUGUCUGAAUAUGGGGGGACCAUCCUCCAAGGCUAAAUACUCCUGACUGACCGAUAGUGAACCAGUACCGUGAGGGAAAGGCGAAAAGAACCCCGGCGAGGGGAGUGAAAAAGAACCUGAAACCGUGUACGUACAAGCAGUGGGAGCACGCUUAGGCGUGUGACUGCGUACCUUUUGUAUAAUGGGUCAGCGACUUAUAUUCUGUAGCAAGGUUAACCGAAUAGGGGAGCCGAAGGGAAACCGAGUCUUAACUGGGCGUUAAGUUGCAGGGUAUAGACCCGAAACCCGGUGAUCUAGCCAUGGGCAGGUUGAAGGUUGGGUAACACUAACUGGAGGACCGAACCGACUAAUGUUGAAAAAUUAGCGGAUGACUUGUGGCUGGGGGUGAAAGGCCAAUCAAACCGGGAGAUAGCUGGUUCUCCCCGAAAGCUAUUUAGGUAGCGCCUCGUGAAUUCAUCUCCGGGGGUAGAGCACUGUUUCGGCAAGGGGGUCAUCCCGACUUACCAACCCGAUGCAAACUGCGAAUACCGGAGAAUGUUAUCACGGGAGACACACGGCGGGUGCUAACGUCCGUUGUGAAGAGGGAAACAACCCAGACCGCCAGCUAAGGUCCCAAAGUCAUGGUUAAGUGGGAAACGAUGUGGGAAGGCCCAGACAGCCAGGAUGUUGGCUUAGAAGCAGCCAUCAUUUAAAGAAAGCGUAAUAGCUCACUGGUCGAGUCGGCCUGCGCGGAAGAUGUAACGGGGCUAAACCAUGCACCGAAGCUGCGGCAGCGACGCUUAUGCGUUGUUGGGUAGGGGAGCGUUCUGUAAGCCUGUGAAGGUGUACUGUGAGGUAUGCUGGAGGUAUCAGAAGUGCGAAUGCUGACAUAAGUAACGAUAAAGCGGGUGAAAAGCCCGCUCGCCGGAAGACCAAGGGUUCCUGUCCAACGUUAAUCGGGGCAGGGUGAGUCGACCCCUAAGGCGAGGCCGAAAGGCGUAGUCGAUGGGAAACAGGUUAAUAUUCCUGUACUUGGUGUUACUGCGAAGGGGGGACGGAGAAGGCUAUGUUGGCCGGGCGACGGUUGUCCCGGUUUAAGCGUGUAGGCUGGUUUUCCAGGCAAAUCCGGAAAAUCAAGGCCGAGGCGUGAUGACGAGGCACUACGGUGCUGAAGCAACAAAUGCCCUGCUUCCAGGAAAAGCCUCUAAGCAUCAGGUAACAUCAAAUCGUACCCCAAACCGACACAGGUGGUCAGGUAGAGAAUACCAAGGCGCUUGAGAGAACUCGGGUGAAGGAACUAGGCAAAAUGGUGCCGUAACUUCGGGAGAAGGCACGCUGAUACGUAGGUGAAGCGACUUGCUCGUGGAGCUGAAAUCAGUCGAAGAUACCAGCUGGCUGCAACUGUUUAUUAAAAACACAGCACUGUGCAAACACGAAAGUGGACGUAUACGGUGUGACGCCUGCCCGGUGCCGGAAGGUUAAUUGAUGGGGUUAGCGCAAGCGAAGCUCUUGAUCGAAGCCCCGGUAAACGGCGGCCGUAACUAUAACGGUCCUAAGGUAGCGAAAUUCCUUGUCGGGUAAGUUCCGACCUGCACGAAUGGCGUAAUGAUGGCCAGGCUGUCUCCACCCGAGACUCAGUGAAAUUGAACUCGCUGUGAAGAUGCAGUGUACCCGCGGCAAGACGGAAAGACCCCGUGAACCUUUACUAUAGCUUGACACUGAACAUUGAGCCUUGAUGUGUAGGAUAGGUGGGAGGCUUUGAAGUGUGGACGCCAGUCUGCAUGGAGCCGACCUUGAAAUACCACCCUUUAAUGUUUGAUGUUCUAACGUGGACCCGUAAUCCGGGUUGCGGACAGUGUCUGGUGGGUAGUUUGACUGGGGCGGUCUCCUCCUAAAGAGUAACGGAGGAGCACGAAGGUUGGCUAAUCCUGGUCGGACAUCAGGAGGUUAGUGCAAUGGCAUAAGCCAGCUUGACUGCGAGCGUGACGGCGCGAGCAGGUGCGAAAGCAGGUCAUAGUGAUCCGGUGGUUCUGAAUGGAAGGGCCAUCGCUCAACGGAUAAAAGGUACUCCGGGGAUAACAGGCUGAUACCGCCCAAGAGUUCAUAUCGACGGCGGUGUUUGGCACCUCGAUGUCGGCUCAUCACAUCCUGGGGCUGAAGUAGGUCCCAAGGGUAUGGCUGUUCGCCAUUUAAAGUGGUACGCGAGCUGGGUUUAGAACGUCGUGAGACAGUUCGGUCCCUAUCUGCCGUGGGCGCUGGAGAACUGAGGGGGGCUGCUCCUAGUACGAGAGGACCGGAGUGGACGCAUCACUGGUGUUCGGGUUGUCAUGCCAAUGGCACUGCCCGGUAGCUAAAUGCGGAAGAGAUAAGUGCUGAAAGCAUCUAAGCACGAAACUUGCCCCGAGAUGAGUUCUCCCUGACCCUUUAAGGGUCCUGAAGGAACGUUGAAGACGACGACGUUGAUAGGCCGGGUGUGUAAGCGCAGCGAUGCGUUGAGCUAACCGGUACUAAUGAACCGUGAGG